GAUGAACGCUGGCGGCGUGCCUAAUACAUGCAAGUCGAGCGAACAGACGAGGAGCUUGCUCCUCUGACGUUAGCGGCGGACGGGUGAGUAACACGUGGAUAACCUACCUAUAAGACUGGGAUAACUUCGGGAAACCGGAUCUAAUACCGGAUAAUAUAUUGAACCGCAUGGUUCAAUAGUGAAAUACGGUUUUGCUGUCACUUAUAGAUGGAUCCGCGCCGCAUUAGCUAGUUGGUAAGGUAACGGCUUACCAAGGCAACGAUGCGUAGCCGACCUGAGAGGGGGGUCGGCCACACUGGAACUGAGACACGGACCAGACUCCUACGGGAGGCAGCAGUAGGGAAUCUUCCGCAAUGGGCGAAAGCUUGACGGAGCAACGCCGCGUGAGUGAUGAAGGUCUUCGGAUCGUAAAACUCUGUUAUUAGGGAAGAACAAAUGUGUAAGUAACUAUGCACGUCUUGACGGUACCUAAUCAGAAAGCCACGGCUAACUACGUG
rnacentral:rRNA from 1 species